AACGAACGCUGGCGGCAGGCUUAACACAUGCAAGUCGAGCGCCCCGCAAGGGGAGCGGCAGACGGGUGAGUAACGCGUGGGAAUCUACCCAUCUCUACGGAAUAACGCAUGGAAACGUGUGCUAAUACCGUAUACGUCCUUCGGGAGAAAGAUUUAUCGGAGAUGGAUGAGCCCGCGUUGGAUUAGCUAGUUGGUGGGGUAAAGGCCUACCAAGGCGACGAUCCAUAGCUGGUCUGAGAGGAUGAUCAGCCACACUGGGACUGAGACACGGCCCAGACUCCUACGGGGGGCAGCAGUGGGGAAUAUUGGACAAUGAGCGCAAGCCUGAUCCAGCCAUGCCGCGUGAGUGAUGAAGGCCCUAGGGUUGUAAAGCUCUUUCACCGGUGAAGAUAAUGACGGUAACCGGAGAAGAAGCCCCGGCUAACUUCGUGCCAGCCGCCGCAGUAAUAC
rnacentral:rRNA from 1 species